rnacentral:tRNA from 2 species
UUUCUCUUAGCUUAAUAUUUAAAGCGUUAGUUUGAAGCACUGAAGAUAAUUUUUAUUAGGGAGGC